rnacentral:SRP_RNA from 1 species
CCGUGCUAGAUGGGGAGCUAGCGGUGCCCUGUAACCUGCAAUCCGCUUUAGCAGGAUCGAUGUCUAACCGAGGCUUUAUUACGUAUAGUCUGACCUAGAAAAGUGAUGUUGAUAAUUGGGUCCCACGCAACGGGAAUUCAUGAACCUCGUCAGGUCCGGAAGGAAGCAGCGAUAAGUGAAACCUCUCGUGUGCCGUGGAAAAACCUGGUUUGAGUUAACUAUCUAGGUAACGUAUAUGUAAUACUGUCAGAGUUAGAUGCACGG